GGGAGAUAUUAUGGACAUAAUUGUGCAAAUCGUGAUACAAGCAUGAAAUUUGGUAUAAAGGUUGACUAAAUGAUACUUAAAAAAAAUCCGCUGCUGGCCAGAAAAAAAAAAUCAUUUUUUCAAGAUGGCCACCACACAUUUCGGAAAUGGCGUCAUUACAAAUUGACAAUAAUUCGUUAAUCCUUUAAAAGGUGUGUUAUAUGUAAAAUCCAAUGUUAGAUUUGAUAAAAAGUAAAUGACAGUUCCUAAAUUACGACUAGACAAUACAUUAAUGAAACUAAAGGUGACUUCCGGUUUCAAAAUGCCGGCAAAAAAGUCAAAAAUUUUAAUGUUUAUACUUUCAAGCAACUUCACAAGGGAUGUAUUAUCCAAUGUAAGUUAUGAUAAAACGUUAAAAAAGUUCCUAAGUACGACAAAACAACACAUAAAUGAAGAAAAAUAGUGACUUCCGGUUCCAAAAUGGCGGCAAAUACGUAGAAAAUAUUUUUAUAAUUUCCAUCAACUUAACAAGUGUUAACACUCUUUGUUAAGUUUAAAUGCCUAGUUUGGUUAGAAAGACAGGUUGCUUAUUUUAUAAUUAUCUGAUAGUUGCCUAUACAACAACCCGUACAAGGAAGGCC
rnacentral:lncRNA from 1 species